rnacentral:rRNA from 1 species
GACGAACGCUGGCGGCGUGCUUAACACAUGCAAGUCGAACGGAAAGGCCCUGCUUUUGUGGGGUGCUCGAGUGGCGAACGGGUGAGUAACACGUGAGUAACCUGCCCUUGACUUUGGGAUAACUUCAGGAAACUGGGGCUAAUACCGGAUAGGAGCUCCUGCUGCAUGGUGGGGGUUGGAAAGUUUCGGCGGUUGGGGAUGGACUCGCGGCUUAUCAGCUUGUUGGUGGGGUAGUGGCUUACCAAGGCUUUGACGGGUAGCCGGCCUGAGAGGGUGAUCGGCGACAGGGCGAGGGAGAUGGGGCGCAGAGUGGUGAGGGGGGCGGCAGGGGGGAAGAGUGCGCAGGGGGGGGGAGCGUGGUGCAGCAGGGCGGGGUGCGGGGGGAAGGCCCGGGGUGGGUCAACGGCGUGCGCGGGGGAGGAGGCGGGAGUGGUGGGAAGGGAAAAGGAGGAACGGGCAAACUGGGGGCAAGCGGCCGGGGGAUAGUCGGAAGAGCCCACGUCUGAAC